GACUGCUAUCGGAUUGAUACUAAGCCAUGCGAGUCAUUGUAGCAAUACAAGGCAGACGGCUCAGUAACGCGUAGUCAAUCUACCCUAUGGACGGGAAUAACCUCGGGAAACUGAGAAUAAUGCCCGAUAGAACAUUAUGCCUGGAAUGGUUUAUGUUUCAAAUGAUUUAUCGCCAUAGGAUGGGACUGCGGCCUAUCAGUUUGUUGGUGAGGUAAUGGCCCACCAAGACUAUUACAGGUACGGGCUCUGAGAGGAGUGGCCCGGAGAUGGGUACUGAGACACGGACCCAGGCCCUAUGGGGCGCAGCAGGCGAGAAAACUUUGCAAUGUGCGAAAGCACGACAAGGUUAAUCCGAGUGGUUUCUGCUAAAGAAACCUUUUGUCAGUCCUAGAAACACUAACGAAUAAGGGGUGGGCAAGUUCUGGUGUCAGCCGCCGCGGUAAAACCAGCACCUCAAGUGGUCAGGAUGAUUAUUGGGCCUAAAGCAUCCGUAGCUCGUUUUGUAAGUUUUCGGUUAAAUCCAUGCGCUUAACGUAUGGGCUGCCGGGAAUACUGCAUAACUAGGAAGUGGGAGAGGUAGACGGUACUCGGUAGGAAGGGGUAAAAUCCUUUGAUCUAUUGAUGACCACCUGUGGCGAAGGCGGUCUACCAGAACACGUUCGACGGUGAGGGAUGAAAGCUGGGGGAGCAAACCGGAUUAGAUACCCGGGUAGUCCCAGCUGUAAACUAUGCAAACUCAGUGAUGCAUUGGCUUGUGGCCAAUGCAGUGCUGCAGGGAAGCCGUUAAGUUUGCCGCCUGGGAAGUACGUACGCAAGUAUGAAACUUAAAGGAAUUGGCGGGGGAGCACCACAAGGGGUGAAGCCUGCGGUUCAAUUGGAGUCAACGCCGG
rnacentral:rRNA from 1 species